GUAAGGGAGGCUCUCUUUGCUAGCAUGAGUCUGGUGCUCACUCCUCAGCCAAUGAAAUCUCACCAAAUUUGUGGAGUUUGGGAAGAGUUUGACAGCUACUAUGGCAGUCAUGUGGACAUCCUUGAGCAGCUGAAGAGAUGCCCUGCCCGGAGAGGAGGAAUCUAGAGAGGCAAUCUGGCUACAGUGGCUUUGCCGAGCUACAGUGGGCUCUACCCAGUUUGAACCUCCUGGCAGCUUUGUUUACACUGUGAGGGGAAAACCAUCUACUUAAGCCUCAGUAAUGGCAGACGCUCCUCUCUCUAAGGUCAAGUGUAACUGUUUACUUCAGACUGUUGUGCUGGCUGUGAGAAUUUCAAGCCCGUGGAUCUCAGCUUGCUGGGCUCCAUGGGGGUGGGAUCCACUGAGAUAAACCACUUGGCUCCCUGGCUUAAGCCUUCUUUUCAGACACAGAAGAAAGAUGAUGAUAAGAAGCCAUACAUUGUAAGACAUUUAGGCUCACUCAGGUCAUUCACAGUUCUGUUUUUCCUUUGACUGGACUAAGCUCCAGCUUUGAAUCCAAGUGGUGCAGUUAACAAGGAGGAGCAAGAAAGCAGGACAAAUAAAGCAGAGAGCUAGUCACCAGAGGGAUGUGUUUGAUCCAGCACACCCCUUCUCUUCAUAGCAGAGAAUCGACACCCAAUCAAUCACAGCAAAGUACAUUUCACAAAUUUGGAGUAAACUUUUAUGUGUACUCAAGGGAGAUGUUUAGAAAGGGUUAUCUUCGAAGAGACGCUUCAGAAAGGAGAGAGAAUUUGGGGAACCUUUUCCAUGAUUUGAAGAAGACGGCAAGAAGCCUCUCAACACAUGUUGGCACCUCCAUAUUGAAAUUCCCAGCGUCCAGAACUGUGAACUAAUAAAUUUCUUCAUUGUAAAUCA
rnacentral:lncRNA from 10 species